rnacentral:rRNA from 1 species
AACGAACGCUUGCUGCAUGCUUUAUACAUGCAAGUCGAACGAAGGCCCUAGCUUGCUAGGUGUCCUUAGUGGCGCACGGGUGAGUAACACGUGGGAACAUACCUCAUAGUACGGAAUAACUGCGGGAAACUGUAGCUAAUACCGUAUAUUCCAGUAAUGGGAAAGAUUUAUCGCUAUGAGAUUGGCCCGCGCAAGAUUAGUUUGUUGGUAAGGUAAUGGCUUACCAAGGCUACGAUCUUUAGCUGGUUUGAGAGGAUGAUCAGCCACACUGGGACUGAGACACGGCCCAGACUCCUACGGGAGGCAGCAGUAGGGAAUAUUGGACAAUGGGGGAAACCCUGAUCCAGCAAUGCAGCGUGAGUGACGAAGGCCUUAGGGUUGUAAAACUCUUUCAUCGGUGAGGAUAAUGACAGUAACCGAAGAAGAAGGACCGGCUAAUUCCGUGCCAGCAGCCGCGGUAAUACGGAAGGUCCUAGCGUUGUUCGGAAUUACUGGGCGUAAAGCGCAUGUAGGCGGAACAGAAAGUUAGAAGUGAAAUCCCUGGGCUCAACCUAGGAAUUGCUUUUAAAACUUCUGUUCUGGAAUUAAGGAGAGGAAAAUGGAAUAUCCAGUGUAGAGGUGAAAUUCGUAGAUAUUGGAUGGAACACCAGUGGCGAAGGCGAUUUUCUGGACUUAUAUUGACGCUGAGAUGCGAAGGCAUGGGUAGCAAACGGGAUUAGAUACCCCGGUAGUCCAUGCAGUAAACGAUGGGUGCUAGUCGUCGGACUUAUGUUCGGUGUCGUAGCUAACGCGUUAAGCACCCCGCCUGGGGAGUACGGUCGCAAGAUUAAAACUCAAAUAAAUUGACGGGGACCCGCACAAGCAGUGGAGCAUGUGGUUUAAUUCGACGCAACGCGAAGAACCUUACCAGCUUUUGACAUGGGAAGUACCGGUUACAGAAUGGUAACCUUCAGUUCGGCUGGCUUCCACACAGGUGCUGCAUGGCUGUCGUCAGCUCGUGUCGUGAGAUGUUGGGUUAAGUCCCGCAACGAGCGCAACCCUUAUCGUUAGUUACUAACAGUUCGGCUGAGGACUCUAGCGAAACUGCCGGUGAUAAGCCGGAGGAAGGUGGGGAUGACGUCAAGUCCUCAUGGCCCUUACACGCUGGGCUACACACGUGCUACAAUGGUAACUACAACGGGACGCGAUACCGCGAGGUGGAGCAAAUCCCCAAAAGUUAUCUCAGUUCGGAUUGCACUCUGCAACUCGAGUGCAUGAAGUUGGAAUUGCUAGUAAUCGCGGAUCAGCAUGCCGCGGUGAAAUACGUUCCCGGGUCU